UAAAUAUUUAAGCACCAUAAAAUUCAAGCAUUUCACAUGGAUGUGGCAGCCAGCCUUGGUGGUUUAAAAUGCAUUAUGCAGAGUCUCUGGCAGAUAAUAACAGUGACAAUUGCAGAGUACUGAUUUUUAAUGUCAAUUGUUUUGUUCCCUGCAGAACUUCCUGAUAAUGUCCCUGCAGGAAAUUGUGAUUUUUCACGUGAGGUACAGUAACUUUGAGAAUUGAAAUAAAAUAGCAUUCCCAAAGACAUUAAGAAUUGGCCAGGUAUAAAUAACUCUAAUCAGUAAUUUAUAUGCCCUGUGAGAAUCAUAAUAUAAUUCCACCAUGGAAAAAAACCCAGGAAAUAUUUUUCAUAUUAAAUGGUUUGUUUUAAAUAGAAGAUGUGACCAUAAUAAAUACACGAUGACUGCUAUGUGCUAGGCACAGAAUCUAACUUAAUUUUCAGUGCAAGUGUAGGUGUUAUGUCCCAUUGUGUAAAUGAGGAAAAUGGGGCCCUGGGAGUUGGUGUAACUCGCCCAGGGAAACACAGCUGGAAGAUGAAAGAGGUGGAUUCAAACCUGGGCUCAACAAACUCUGAAGUCCACAUCUUUCUACUCUUCUUGCAGCCGUGACAAAAAACCCAGAAAAACACAAUUAUCGGAUUAGUUUGCUGAGCUGAUAGAAACACAAAUCUAAUGGAAUUUCCUGGAACACACAGGAUGAUUUGCUUUAUUAUAAUCUAUAAGAGGCUCAAAAUAAAAUCUUUGAUAAAAUCCGGUUUUAGUGGACCAUUGCAUUGACUAUUUUCCUAAGCACCGAUAACACGUGUCCAGACUUUGUAGACGCGAUCUUGUACCAGGAAUCCCUUCUCUCAUGAGGGAAUACAGGUUACAGCAUGAGCUAAGUCAUGUCACGCUUCAGUGAAGAGUCUUCUCUCAACCAGACCUCUCCAAUCUUAUCCCUGAAAUUUCAGUUUAUGGAAAAGGAAGCUAUUUUUCAGGAGGAGGUGAUGGUUAAAGCUUAUCAAUUGGCUUUCUGUUGAUAAGUGUAAGAGAAGAUUGUGGGUGGGCCGAUAGAUUGUCACAUUCUAAUAUCUUGCAAUAAGAAAUGGUUCAUACUUGUUACCAUUUUGUCAAUAAGAACCCUACAGGCAGAGGUGAACAUCUAAUGCCUAAUGACACUUAUGGAGUUGUCAUUGAAAAAAGAAUCGUGUCAAUAAUUGAGUAAAGCAUGAUCCCUGCCCUCGUGGGGCUUACAGUUUAGUAAGAGAGUGAAGGAAGUGAGAUGAGACACUACAGGAGCAAUGGGGGAACGAAGACAGCGGACGGGCCCAUUAUUUGUACUGGGAGCAGCAGAAGGCAGUCCAGGUCUUCCUUGGGAAAUUCCCAGACACACACCCCAACUGAUGUAGUCUUUAAAGAUAAGUAGUUGCCUGCCAGGUAAAAUUACCUGAGACGGGACAUCACUGGUAGAAAGAGCAGGAGCGAAGUCAGAAAUAGGAACGUGGCUCUGCAGUGAGCAUAGAGCUGAGUGAUGACAGAUCCUGCAGGCCCAU
rnacentral:lncRNA from 1 species